GCACCCGUAGCUCAGCUGGAUAGAGCGCUGCCCUCCGAAGGCAGAGGCCACAGGUUCGAAUCCUGUCGGGUGCG
rfam:Sphingomonas dokdonensis strain DSM 21029 SPDO_contig000001, whole genome shotgun sequence.